GGGGUCUCUAUGCUGACCAGGCUGGUCCCAAACUCCUGGACUCAAGCCAUCCUCCCACUUCGCCCUUCGAGCCUUCUAAAGUACUGGGAUUACAGACGCGAGCCACCGCCCCUGGCCAAGAGCUAUUUUCAAGCAGCUUCCUCCUGACCACUUGUAGUUACCUGUUUUAAAAUCUUAGGCUGUCUAAGCCUCACCAUCAACUCUUGCACAUUUCUAUCUAAUUACAGGGCUUACAUUAUUUUUCCCAGAAUCACAAAUUCAUGUAUUUUGGAUACGCAAACUCAAGAGUGAGGGACCCAGCUAGCAUACAGAGAUUCUUCAUGUUGGAAAGGAUUUAGAGAUCAUCUAGUCCAACCUCCCACUCAAUGCGGACGUUAUCUAGCAAGUAGUUACUCAGCUUCCGUUCAAACACUUCUAAUGACAAGAAUGACAGUCACUUCCUCCCAAGACAACUCACUCCAUCUUUGGACAGCUCUAAGGUUUAUCUGACACCAUCUCCUAAAGAAAAAGCCACAGGUAGGUUGUCCUAUGUUGUUUUAUAUUCCCCGUAGCAAUUAACGUGGAGCUUCACAAAAGUAUUAGUUGAAUUGACUUGAUGCUAAUUUCUCAUUUUUUUAUACUUACUAUCCCUACUACACCAUAAUUAUAGAC
rnacentral:lncRNA from 1 species